rnacentral:ncRNA from 1 species
UAACCAUUUGGAGCUAGCCGUCGAAGGUGGGACAAAUGAUUGGGGUGAAGUCGUAACAAGGUAGCCGUAUCGGAAGGUGCGGCUGGAUCACCUCCUUU